rnacentral:antisense_RNA from 1 species
GCCAGCCAGCGCCGGCACUUCGGCGGGAGGAAGGAAGCACCUAAGGCGCUGGGGGCGGAAACGCUGAGGUGGAGGGGUGCGCCUCAGGCGAGAGCUGGCCGGCGCCGACUGGGCCUGGGGCAGCGGCCGCAGCUCCCCGCCCGGGACCGCGCACAAAGGCCUGAGGUCCGGGCCGCACUCACCGAAGUCCAGGAACUGCUUCAUGGAGAGCGGGGACGGCGAGAAGCGCGCGUAGAAGUCCACCUGGCCCGGAACGCCGCGCUCGGACGCCGGGCUGGAGUCCGAGUCCGAGCUGAAGCUGCGGCUGGGGCCGGCGGCGCGCAGCCCCGGGCCCGGGCCGGCCAAGGCGGCUCCGCGAAGCAGCCGCGCCAGCCUCAUGCCGAGUCCCGCUAGAGAAGCCACAGCCCGGGCUCCAGGUUUCCCCGCUCCUCUGCCGAGUGGGUUGAAGGCAAAUACUUGAAGUUGCAAUCCAAGGUCAGGAAAAAGGAAUCAAGAGGUCACAAUCCUUCUCUGAUGAUGGCUCAGAAAGCUGGAAGACACUCAACAUUGAAUCCUGGGGCUCCGUGCCAUGCUUGCUAGGAGAAACAGCCACCGUGAGUCCAUGUUUCAGAUCUCAAGUGAACAGUCAUUCUCCAGCUGGGAUUGAGAACAAGGGGAAGCUGGCCAUAGAGCCAGAUGGCCAAAGAUGGAAGACAAAGGGUGGGCUGUGAUUCCCAGAGCUCCAAGCCUUGAUCUGUCUUGUCACACCAACUGUUACUGAUGAACAGAAAAGAUUUUCUUGGAAUUCCUAUGCCCCUGGCCUUGACUCUGGAGCCAGGGGUCAGAUGACUCACAGCUGAAGCAGUAUGGCUGCUAUUAAAACAUGCCAGAGGAGAGCUUACUACGGCCACUAUUAUUAAGAGUAUCAUUAACGGUGUCAAAAUUCUUGUCAAAAAUCCUGUGUUGCCCC